rnacentral:lncRNA from 1 species
GGUGUCGCUGUCGCGGCCGAGCAUGAAGCAGAUGCCGGCGCGGAGCGCCUGGGAGUUGUUGAUGUAGUGGUCGCAGUCGAGGUUGAGGAUGAAGGGGGAGUUGGAGAGCACGGCGGAGGCGCGGGUCAGCGCGUUCAUGGCGCCGGCCUUCUUCUGGUGGUUGCACCCGGGGCGCUUCUCACGUGCGACGUACACCAGCAUCGGCAGCCGCACGUCCACGCCGCUGAAGUCCAGCGGGUUGUCGGCGCUCGCCGGCGGCCCCAGCUGCCGUGCGUGGCUCGGGUGGUUCAGCAACACCUGCACAUUUUUACCAUCAUUUACCAUAUCAGUAAAAAAAAGUCAUCUAGUACUAAUUACUACUCCUAUAUUUACCACUACUAGGAGUAAUAAAUAAUUAAUUAGUAAUCACUGCAAUUAAACUUGAUGGUUAAUUAUAUUGUGGUAAUUAAUUAAUUAACUUGUACUUGUAGCAGUAAUUAAGAAAUGGUGGUUAGUUAAUGGUGAGAGGAGGUGAGAUUAAUUAGGGGGGUGUGGAUUAAUGGUGAUGUGGUGGUGCUGUCUGGGUGGAAAGGACCACCCCAACCACUAGCUUGUUCAGACACAAGUGAGUCAUUAUCCUGCAUGCUGCUACGACUACUAAUGUGCAAUUAGUGCGUGGUGGUUGCGCUCUUGACUAUCACCACGUCAAUUCCAUCAAAAUCCCACACAUAUCUCCCAAUCCAAAAUAAUAUUCGCCCUGACAAGUCAUCACUAACUAACCAAAUAAUCACAUAAACAAAAGAUUUGUACUAUAAGAGUAAUAAUUAAUUAACUUUUAAUUAUACUGACCAGGACGAUGCCGGCGUGGUCGCCCUUGCGGUGGUUCUCCGACUGCUCGAUCCAGGUGCCCUCCCACUGCGACCCGUCGGCCAUCCAGGUGGCGCGGGGCUCGCCGUCCUUGACGCCGGCGGCGGCGUUGUAGGAGUCGGACCUCUGCUUGAUGUCGUGCUCGAGGCCGUUGAUCCUGGCCUUGAAGUCGUCGUACUCCUUGCGGACGCGGCGGCGGUCGUUGACGAACUCCUCCUGCGCCCUCCCCAUGUAGGGGUGGGACUUGAGCUCGAAGUAGCUCUCAGGCCCGCGCGGCUCGAUGGCGUGCUUCCGGCAGAAGGGCACCCACAGCGUCGCGAACUUGGCCGCCUCCGCCAUGGCCUCGUAGGUGAGGAGCAUCCCAGAGUCGUCGGAGAGGUAGCAGGUGUUGCGGUCGACGGGGUAGUCGGCGGCGAGGAUGGAGAGGAUGGAGUUCGCCGUCGACAGGAUGGGCUCCUUGAUCGGGUCGGCGGUGGUGACGAAGAUGUCCAGCCCCGGGAGGGAGGAGGUCCCGUCGGCGUGGUCGAAGCGGCGGCGGAGGACGGCGAGGUCGGGGACGCGG